rnacentral:tRNA from 1 species
GCCUGGGUGGCUCAGUUGGUUGAGCAUCGGACUUCAGCUCAGGUCGCGAUCUCACAGUUCGUGAGUUCGAGCCCCGCGUCAGGCU